UCUGGUGAUGAUAGCGAACGGGUCCCACCUGAACCCAUUCCGAACUCAGAAGUGAAAACGUUCAGCGCCGAUGAUAGUGUGAUUUACUCAUGCGAAAGUAGGACGUUGCCAGAA
rnacentral:rRNA from 1 species